CGUACUCAGAAACUCUCUCCGUCUCUCUCCCUCAAGCUGCUCUCGAUUUUUCUUCGAUUUGUAGACGAUCUCGAUUUUUCGUCGAAAUCGUUAAUUUCAUUUGGAUAGAGGCGUAUGCGAUCUAAAACUGGGGUGAGAUUUUGUUUGGAAGAUCGGCGAAGUUUGAUUUGCUGGGCGGAAGGACAAUAUUAGGAACGCUGUGACAGAGGUUAGUCUUGGGGCGGAACCUGUGGAACUGUGAAAGGUUGGUUCGCUAAUCUGGUAUAAGUUAGUAAUUACCAUGGUGUUGCUUGUUUAAAUGUUACAACACUGUUCUGUUAUUUUAUUUUUUUAUUGCGCUGCUAUGAAUCUUAUGGUCCAUUAGCUAUAUUUUAUGCAAUUGCGGCUUGGUUUGUUCUGCGGUUAAGGUAAAUUUGAGUGGUUGAUUACAUGCCUGGAAGACUUCAAAGAGAGGUAGAGUAACUAAUAACUAGACCCCUGUAUUCUCUUUUUGACUCCAUGUGAACUACUGUGAAAAUGCUACUGACUUUCCUCUUUUUCCUUUUUGUAUGAUGCUGAAAAUUAUAAUGAUUAUGAUGCAGAAAAUAGGGUCAUCAUUUGUUCAUGGUUAGCGCCCUUACUAGGUUAGUUACAUUUUUUGCCGUAUUUGGAGGAUGCAAUAUGAACUAGGUUGGUGCUUGAAACAACUGUUGGGAAAGUCACCUAGACUUGCUUGUAUAAAAGUAUGAUAUACUAGAACCCUGUAUUCUCCUUAGGCUUAUUCAGUCUUUUUGUUUUCCAUCUGGCUACCCAAAUAUGUUUUAUCUUUUUUUUUUCUUCAAUUAUGGUUGAUUAUCAAGUUCAUUCGCAGUAAUGGAUAAGUCAUGGAUAAUAGAAGAUAGGACAUCUGAUGCAUAUAAUAACAGAGUUGAGCAGUUCCUUAGAUUUGAUGUUCGUAACGAAGAAAAACACAAUGAAAAGCAUUCACAUAAACGUAGGAAAAACGUAUUCUUAUAAGAUGUUCAUGUUUUGAUUGUGAUAACGUUCCCCCGGGUCUGACCAUUGCUGAAGUAAGAUCCCAUUUAUUUCAUACUGGGUUUGGCAUGGGGAAGAUGUUGGGCAUAUUCCAACUGCAGUUUUACCUUCAACAGCACUCAUGCUUGCAGUGAUUGCAGGAUGCAAAAGUGUUGUUCUGGCUACUCCCCCAGGAAAAGAUGGCAGCAUCUGCAAGGUUUUUAAUGUUCUCUUUCUCUUUAGGAGGUGCUUUUCCAUGAAUGCAGGCCAUUUCAGCCAUGGCGUGGGGGACUUCAUCUUGCCCUUAGGUGGAGCAAUUUUUGGACCUGGAAAUCAGUAAGACAGCUGCAAAAAUGAUUUUCCAGUGAAAUGAUGGUUUCAAUUGACAUGCCUGCUGGCCCAUCUGAAGUUCUGGUUGUUGCUUAGAGGUAGAUGGAAUAUUUUGUUUACAAUCUACUAUAAGAUUUAGGGUCUGUCUUUUAGUUAGACAAUCUUUAUAUGUUGGUGAAGCAAGGUACUUUGUUUCUGUUGGUGGAGGCAUUACCGAAGUUCGAAGGUUCCGUUCUAGUUUCCAUACCGCACAGAGUGGUUUAACCUUGAGCAAGGUAAACCAUCGCUCCUGUGCUUUAACUUUUGUUAUGCUUCUUGUUUUUCUUCUCUUCACUCUUUUUAUGGUCAAUAUGGUAUAUUCUUGUUUUUACGUGUAUUUGGUUUGUCUGCAUAGUUUAGGGGUCAGAAUUCUAUGCUAGCUAUUGAACAAGUACCAGGUUAUUAGUUCUGGAAGUUGGCCCUUGAUUUCAAGGUACAGGGCAUGUUUACUUACUCAAUCCCUUGGAGAGAACAUGACCCUAAGAUGGAAAUUGUUCCCAAGUAAGUUAGUCAUUUUCCUUCGGAUAGAUAAUACUUGUUUCUUGGUUGCUAGAUACACUUAAAUCUACCAUCAGAACGAGAAACAAAAAAAGGCCAAUUCUGCUUAGGGUACUUGCCUAUCUUUCUCUGUCUCAGUUCAUCAAUACGUCUAACGUUAGAGGGUUGUGAAGGCUUGCUGCAGAAGAAGGCGUACAAAAUACUCUCCAUUAGUCACGAGGUUGUCAUGGAUUGUGCAAGUCUUUGACUUUUCAGAUUUAACAUCAUUCUCCAGUGUUAGUGGUUGACACUAUUUGCUUGAUCUUACUUGUAGUGCUUCAGGGAAUAGUCUAAAUGAGCUUGUUCUGAUGUUAAGGAUCUGUGUGUUGGUACCCUUGGUUUGAGUUAAACAAGUAGAAUCUGCAGAAAUGUGUAAUUUUUUUAUUUUCUUGUUCAGAAAUGAAUUUGAUUCUGAAGGCAAUGGAAUAUAGUUUUUCUAUUAGCCUUUUCGAUUUUGUCUGUAAUUUUUAAAUUUGAA